rnacentral:rRNA from 1 species
UACAGAGGGUGCGAGCGUUAAUCGGAAUUACUGGGCGUAAAGCGUGCGUAGACGGCUAUCUAAGUCGGGUGUGAAAGCCCCGGGCUCAACCUGGGAAUUGCAUUCGAGACUGAAUAGCUAGGGUACGGUAGAGGGAAGCGGAAUUUCCGGUGUAGCGGUGAAAUGCGUAGAUAUCUGGAGGAACACCGGUGGCGAAGGCGGCAUCCUGGACCGGCAUUGACGCUGAGGAGCGAAAGCCAGGGGAGCAAAC